CAGCUAAUAGGCCGGUGACGAGGACCGCCGAGCGCCACCCGCCCGGGAAGGGAAACCACCCUUGGUCGGACUCGUGACACUCACCUUGUUUUACCAAGACCAAAUACCUUUACAAGAGCAUCUGAGUGAAUCAUUUAUAUUUACCCAGGCUCGAACGAUACUGUCCCAAAGAGCGUCUGGAGGACGGAGUUGUCAAGCGUGAUGGAGAAGUCUUUGAGUGGGCAGACCUUCCCUGGAAGAGCAGCUGCUUUUUGUCUAGAUCAUGGCUAGGAGGGGUUCGGCCUUAGGGUUGCUGUCAUGAAGCGCUUACCGGGUGCAACAAAGGGACAAGAGGGAAUGGCUUAAAACAGUAAAGACUGAAUUGAGAAGCGAUGAAAGGAAAAUAAAAUUAAUAGGAUUAAAUAAA